UGGCUUCUGGUUAUGGAGGAGG
rnacentral:siRNA from 1 species